rnacentral:rRNA from 1 species
GACGUAGGAGGCGAGCGUUGUCCGGAUUCAUUGGGCGUAAAGAGCUCGUAGGCGGUCUGUCGCGUCUGCUGUGAAAACUCAGGGCUUAACCCUGAGCUUGCAGUGGGUACGGGCAGACUAGAGUGCGGUAGGGGAGACUGGAAUUCCUGGUGUAGCGGUGAAAUGCGCAGAUAUCAGGAGGAACACCGGUGGCGAAGGCGGGUCUCUGGGCCGUAACUGACGCUGAGGAGCGAAAGCAUGGGGAGCGAACAGG